rnacentral:lncRNA from 1 species
GGGCUACUGAACCAGACCCUUAAAAAACCUAAUUAAAAGCUGUAGUUGGCUGAAGAAGUAUUAUUCAUCAUGACAUCUGCUUGCUAAAUGAAAGUAUCUCCAGGGCAGACAUUAUGUGAUCACAAGGGCCGAACAAAAGCCUAGUGAAAUCAAAUAGUUAAUUGAAGUUUUGUAGGACUGGAGAUCAAAGGAUUUAUUUUGGAGAUAUAUAUAUAUAGAUGUAAGGGUAGGUAUGAUGUUCUUGUUUCUCUUUGGUUUUUAUAUGCAUAGUUUAUAAAUCCAAAGCCAGGAUUUCUCAGUCUAAUGUAGGGCCUUGCCAGCUUCUUUCUUUAGUAUGAAAAUGUCAGUUAUUUUUCACGGAAUUUUACAGAAUAAAUGUAAAUUUUUUCCAAUCUAUUUCAGGGAGAGACCUUGACUUUGCAAAAAAGCAUUUGUAAUGAUUCUGGGAAAGCAUAGUUCUAUUGACCUCUCUUUCUGAAGAACUGUUCUCCUGGAAGAAAAGACUCAGGGCAAAACAACGGAUGCUGGAGGUGUACUUGCUUUGCUGUCACAUUAUUAUCAAGCCUUUCCUCUGAUUUUUCAGCUUGGGAUUUCAGAAAAAACUCUAACAUGAUGGUUCCACUUCAUAUCAAAGCUGGAUAAGCCACUGUCAGGCUCCUUUGCCACCUGCC